CUGCUUAGAAAUUUCUUUCGCCAGAUACUGUAAAUCAUCUCUCUCAAGUUCAAAGUUCCACAGAUCUCUAGGGCAGGGGCACAAUGCUGCCAGCCGCUCUGCUAAAGCAUAACAAGAAUCACCUUUGCUCCAGUUCCCAAUAACUCCUUCAUCUCCAUCUGAGACCUCCGCGGCCUGGACUUCUUUUAUCAAAACCAAUCAACAAGGAAGCUCCAAACUUUCCUAUAUCUUUCUGCCUAUUUCUGAGCCCUCCAAAUUGUUCAUACCUCUGCCUGUGUGAUGAUUAAUAGUGAGUGUCAACUUGACUGGAUUGAAGGAUGCAAAGUGUUGAUACUGGGUGUGUUUCUGAGGGUGUUGCCAAAGGACCUUAACAUUUGAGUCAGUGGGCUGGGAAAGGCAGACUGUCUAAUCAGCUGCCAGCAUGGCUAGAAUAUAAAGCAGGCAGAAAAACGUGAAAAGACUAGACUGGUCUAGCCAUCCAGCCUACAUCUCUCUCCUGUGCUGGACCCUUCCUGCCCUCAAAUAUUGCACUUCAAGUUCUUCAGUUUUGGGAUUCAGAUUGGCUUUCCUUGCUCCUCAGCUUGCAGACAACCUAUUGUGGGACCUUGUGACUGUGUGAGUUAAUACUUAGUAACCCCCCCAUAUAAAUAUAUUCUACAGAAUAUAUAUUAUAUAUAAUAUAUUAUGUAUAUUAAUAUAUUAUAUAUAUAUAUUCUAUUAGUUCUGUCCCUGUAGAGAACCCUGACUAAUACAGCCUGUUACCCAGUUCCAAAGUUGCUUCCACAUUUUCAGGUAUCUUAAUAGCAAUACCCUGCUCUACCAGUACCAAUUUGCUGUAUUAGUCCAUUUUCAUACUGCUAUGAAGAAAUACCCAAGGCUGGGUAAUUUAUAAAGAAAAAGAGGUUUAAUGGACUCAGAGUUCCACAUGGCUGGGGAGGCCUCACAAUCAUGGUGGAAGGUGAAGGAGAAGCAAAGGCAUGUCUUACAUGGCAGCAGGCAAGAAAGCAUGUGCAGGGGAACUGUUUUUUAUAAAACCAUCAGAUCUCCUGAGAUUUAUUCGCUAUUACGAGAACAGCAUGGGAAAAACCCAACUCAUGAUUCAAUUAGCUCCCACUGAGUCUCUCCCAUGACACAUAGGGAUUAUGGAAGCUACAAUUCAAGAUGAGAUUUGGGUGGGGGCACAGCCAAACAAUAUAAGUGGGUGACAUACAUCUUUUCAUUUCUACAAGUGAUCCCCUCCCCCUGGAGAACAAUGCCUGUCUGGGUAUAGCAUUUUAAAAUUGCAACUUUUUUUUUUUCAGCAUGUACAGGUCCUUAUACUAAUUUCCAAGUUCCAGUGCUGUAAGCAAGAACUUCAAUGCCCUCUGAUUCUUUCUCUUUUGGUCUAGAAGCUUGAGAAUUAUUUCUUUUAUCUGGAAUUCAGAGAUAUUAUAAGGCUAUGUCUUGGAUGUAUGGUUUUAUUUUUUAAUUAAAACUAAUUAUAUGUAAAGCCUAAUGAGGCCUUUAUGUGCAGAUUAAGCUCUUCAUGCUCAGAUAACUUUUCUUACAUUAUUUGUUUAGUUAUUGCUUUGUCUCUAUCUAUACAUUUCUUUUUCAAAAACAUCUGGCAUUCAGACGAGGCCUGUCAGGUCUACUCUCCAAGACUUUAAUUUUUUGCUCAACAUUUCUGUGUUUGGAUUCUUUUUCCUCCAUAUUUGCUUCAUGUUUUAAGCCAUUUCUUUCAUUUGAUCUUUGGGUCACACGCACUCUCCUUCAAUUCAUCUACAGAAUUUAAAAUCUGAAAACCAGGUUUAAGCCGUACAAAGUCUUUCUAUUUUUAUUUUGUACAUUUUAAAUGACUUUGUCAUUAUGUUUAUGUUAAAGUUGCCAGCUCCUGCCCCAACUGUCCUAUUCUAUCCCAGUGCCCUGUGUUGAGAGCUCUGGCAGCUCUUCCCCUCUAAGGCUACCGAGCCUUCUUACCUGCGCUAUCACUUCCUGUUGUCUGUUUCACCGGAUGCUGCAUGCUUUACCCAGAUCCUCUCUUUAGGGCCAUCAUGUGCACCUUUUGGCUGCUGCCGGCUUCCAGCCAUAUCCCUCAGCUGGAGUUACAUGCAGCAACAAAGAAUUGCUUUGAUCAAAAUUAUGGGAAGCCCAAAGCCAAGAAUUCGCUGGUAUAAGGAAGAUCUGAUCCUCUUGCCUCAAUCUGGGACAACUCUGAAGGGUCAGCCCAAGUUUGGGCUUCCAUAGGAUGUGGCCAGUUGAAACCACAUUGAAGAUGAGAUUUUCCCUCUUCCCUUUCCUGGAUAAUUUUUAUAUUUCUGCCAGCAAUACACAAGGGUUUGAUUUCUUCAUGUUCUCACCAAAAUUUAUUUUGAACUUUCUGAAAUAGCCAUCCCAGUGGGUGUGUGGUAGUGUCUUAUUGUAGUUUUGAUUUGCAUUUCCCUCAUGACUAACAAUGUUGGACAUCUUUGCAUCUACUGUUGGCCAUUAGGAUAUCUUCUCUGGAAAAAUGUCUAAUCAAGUAUUUCAUCCAUUUUUUUUUUUUUUUUUUUUUUUUUGAGACGGAGCCUUGCUCUGUCGCCCAGGCUGGAGUGCAGUGGCACGAUCUCGGCUCACUGCAAGCUCCGCCUCCCGGGUUCAAGCCAUUCUCCUGCCUCAGCCUCCCGAGUAGCUGGGACUACAGGCGCCUGCCACCACGCCCGGCGAGUUUUUUUUGUGUGUGUUUUUAGUAGAGACGGGGUUUCACUGUGGUCUCGAUCUCCUGACCUCGUGAUCCACCUGCCUCGGCCUUCCAAAGUGCUGGGAUUACAGGCGUGAGCCACUGUGCCUGGCCUCUUUUGCCCAUUUUUAAUUGGCUUGUUUUUUUUUUUAGCUGUUGCAUUGUAGAAGGUUUUUAAGUAUAUAUUUGGAAUACCAGGCUCUUGUCUGAUACAAGAUUUAAAAAUACUUUCUGCCAUUCUGUUGGUUGCAUUUUCAUGUUCAUGAUAAUGUCUUUUGAUACACAGCAUUUUUAAUUUUG
rnacentral:lncRNA from 1 species